UACAGAGGGUGCAAGCGUUAUUCGGAAUUACUAGGUGUAAAGGGCGCGUAGGUGGUUUGGUAAGUUAGCUGUGAAAUUCUAUGGCUCAACCGUGGAACUGCAGCUAAUACUGCCGGACUUGAGUAUCGGAGGGGAAAGCGGAAUUCCUGGUGUAGCGGUGAAAUGUGUAGAUAUCAGGAGGAAUACCGAGGGCGAAAGCGGCUUUCUGGACGAAUACUGACACUGAGGCGCGAAAGCUAGGGGAG
rnacentral:rRNA from 1 species